rnacentral:rRNA from 1 species
GGCGAACGCUGGCGGCGUGCCUAAUACAUGCAAGUUGAGCGCUGAAGGUUGGUACUUGUACCAACUGGAUGAGCAGCGAACGGGUGAGUAACGCGUGGGGAAUCUGCCUUUGAGCGGGGGACAACAUUUGGAAACGAAUGCUAAUACCGCAUAAAAACUUUAAACACAAGUUUUAAGUUUGAAAGAUGCAAUUGCAUCACUCAAAGAUGAUCCCGCGUUGUAUUAGCUAGUUGGUGAGGUAAAGGCUCACCAAGGCGAUGAUACAUAGCCGACCUGAGAGGGUGAUCGGCCACAUUGGGACUGAGACACGGCCCAAACUCCUACGGGAGGCAGCAGUAGGGAAUCUUCGGCAAUGGACGAAAGUCUGACCGAGCAACGCCGCGUGAGUGAAGAAGGGUUUCGGAUCGUAAAACUCUGUUGGUAGAGAAGAACGUUGGUGAGAGUGGAAAGCUCAUCAAGUGACGGUAACUACCCAGAAAGGGACGGCUAACUACGUG